rnacentral:misc_RNA from 1 species
GGAACUAAAAGUCGUAACAAGGUAACCGUAGGUGAACCUGCGGUUGGAUCAUUACCGAAUAAUUUUACGGUGAGAAACUUUCGAGGGACUCCCGUAAAACCAACAUUUUGUGCAAUUAUGAUGUUUUUUGGGUCUUUUUUGGAGACCCAGCAUUUUUAACAAACCAUAUCAAUUUGACUUAUAUCUCUAUGAAAAUAGAAACAACUUUUGACAACGGAUCUCUUGGCUCUCGCAACG